rnacentral:rRNA from 1 species
GACGAACGCUGGCGGCGUGCUUAACACAUGCAAGUCGAACGGUGACGAGGAGCUUGCUCCUCUGAUCAGUGGCGAACGGGUGAGUAACACGUGAGCAACCUGCCCCAGACUCUGGGAUAACAGUUGGAAACAGCUGCUAAUACCGGAUACGAGACGGAGAGGCAUCUCUACCGUCUGGAAAGUUUUUCGGUCUGGGAUGGACUCGCGGCCUAUCAGCUAGUUGGUGAGGUAAUGGCUCACCAAGGCGACGACGGGUAGCCGGCCUGAGAGGGCGACCGGCCACACUGGGACUGAGACACGGCCCAGACUCCUACGGGAGGCAGCAGUGGGGAAUAUUGCACAAUGGGCGAAAGCCUGAUGCAGCGACGCCGCGUGAGGGAUGAAGGCCUCGGGUUGGUAAACCUCUUUCAGCAGGAAGAAGCGAAAGUGACGGUAACCUGCAGAAGAAGCACCGGC